rnacentral:rRNA from 1 species
GAUGAACGCUGGCGGCGUGCCUAAUACAUGCAAGUCGAGCGAACGGACGAGAAGCUUGCUUCUCUGAUGUUAGCGGCGGACGGGUGAGUAACACGUGGAUAGCCUACCUAUAAGACUGGGAUAACUUCGGGAAACCGGAGCUAAUACCGGAUAAUAUUUUGAACCGCAUGGUUCAAAAGUGAAAGACGGUCUUGCUGUCACUUAUAGAUGGAUCCGCGCUGCAUUAGCUAGUUGGUAAGGUAACGGCUUACCAAGGCAACGAUGCAUAGCCGUCCUGAGAGGGUGAUCGGCCACACUGGAACUGAGACACGGUCCAGACUCCUACGGGAGGCAGCAGUAGGGAAUCUUCCGCAAUGGGCGAAAGCCUGACGGAGCAACGCCGCGUGAGUGAUGAAGGUCUUCGGAUCGUAAAACUCUGUUAUUAGGGAAGAACAUAUGUGUAAGUAACUGUGCACAUCUUGACGGUACCUAAUCAGAAAGCCACGGCUAACUACGUG